UCCGUAGGCGGGUAAUUAAGUCAGAGGUGAAAUCCCACAGCUUAACUGUGGAACUGCCUUAGAUACUGGUUAUCUUGAGUUUUAGUGAAGUAGAUAGAGUGUGUAGUGUAGCGGUGAAAUGCAUAGAUAUUACACAGAAUACCGAUUGCGAAGGCAGUCUACUAACUAACAACUGACGCUAAUGGACGAAAGCGUGGGGAGCGAACAGGAUUAGAUACCCUGGUAGUCC
rnacentral:rRNA from 1 species